GACCAGCGAUGAAUAGCUCAGCUGGUAGAGCAUGAGACCAUUAAUCUCAGGGUCUUGGGUUCAAGCCCCACGUUGGGCA